CAAGUCUGGUGCCAGCAGCCGCGGUAAUUCCAGCUCCAAUAGCGUAUAUUAAAGUUGUUGCAGUUAAAAAGCUCGUAGUUGAAUUUCGGAAUCUGUCCGUUGGUCGGGCUUAACUGUCCGUACUGAUGUGAUAGGUUCUUACCUUCUGAAUAACCAUCAUGUCAUUAAUUUGGUGUGUUGGGGAAGCAGGACUAUUACCUUGAAAAAAUUAGAGUGCUCAAAGCAGGCUAGUGCCUGAAUACAUUAGCAUGGAAUAAUAAAAUAGGACGGCAUGGUUCUAUUUUGUUGGUUUCUAGGAUCACCGUAAUGAUUAAUAGGGAUAGUUGGGGGCAUUAGUAUUCAAUUGUCAGAGGUGAAAUUCUUGGAUUUAUUGAAGACUAACUUCUGCGAAAGCAUUUGCCAAGGAUGUUUUCAUUAAUCAAGAACGAAAGUUAGGGGAUCGAAGACGAUCAGAUACCGUCGUAGUCUUAACCAUAAACUAUGCCGACUAGGGAUCGGACGAUGUUAAUUUUAUAAUGACUCGUUCGGCGCCUUACCGGGAACA
rnacentral:rRNA from 1 species